GUAAAGUCAUAAAUAUUAUAAAGGACAUUGUUUUCAAUGUCCUUUUAUUCUUUAUGCAGAAAUUUGCAGAUAUUUUAUGCAGAAAAUAAUUGCACCCAUCAAGUUGUUUUCUAGAUUUAAGAAGGUUAUUCUUUACUGAAGAUUGUUAGUCUAGACUAAACAAUAUUUGUGACCUUGUGUUUGUAUGGAAAUAAUAGGCCAGGUUAGGGUAACAGUGAAUUGAAUGAAGAUUUGUUGUCAGGAAGAAUUCUUAUUUUCUUUUCUGUCCUCUUGUCUACUAACUUGAAUUUUAUUCUUUUCUCACUAAAAUGCUUCCACUGAAAAGGGCAUAAGUGUAAAAAGCAGAAAAAUAUUUUAAGAAAAAAUUUAAAGGUCUUGAUCAUUCAACAGGUAAGUGAAAGUAGUUUUUAUGCCAUGUGUUUUUAUACACAUUGCCACUUGAUUUCCCUCUUGGAAGGUAAAAUGAAUGUUAGAUUACAAUUUAACUGCAUAAAUAAAUUUUAAGUUGGAAAUGCAUACCAUAGUCUGAAAUAAAUCUUUCAAAAAAAAGACAAGAAUAGGUGUAAUUUCUAUUAAGUUAGUACCUCAGCUCUCCUUUGGUCUUUGGUUAAGAGUUAUGUGAGAAUUUCAGCCCCUGAGCUUUUAUUUUUCUACUUUUUGUAGAUAAGACAAAAAGGAUACAUUUUUGGAAAAAUUGGCAAUUCAAGUAAUAAAAAAUGUACAAGUAAAAGACAUUCAUAUUAAAUAUGAAGAUGAUGUGAUUCAGUCUGGACCAAAAAAUUAAGGAAAAAGUCUGCUGACACAGGAGGGAAAUGUGCCAGGCUGAUUUAGUAGGUUUUGGAGAAAGGAUUCAAGAAAAAAAGAUGAAGAAUCAUUCAUUCCUGAAACUACAGCUGACCUUAUGA
rnacentral:lncRNA from 1 species